rnacentral:sRNA from 1 species
UUGUAUUCUUCUUCUUCUUCUGCA